UACAACGCACUACCUGUUCAUAGUAGUCGUUGCUGUAAACAGCACACUGCUCACCAUCAACGAAGGGGACUACAUCUUCUACAAAGACUGGGCGUGGACGUCCUUCGUUGGGUUCUCGGUGGCGGAGGCGACGAUGCUUGCGGUAGGCGCAAUAUAAUACAGGUUAUUCACAGGUGUCACAGGCACCGCAACAUAUUACGCAAAUAUAAUGCACAUCAACAUAUGAGUGCCAAAGGGAGCAGUAUGAUCACAUGCAUCCCAAUACGACUCAGGCUCGCUACAAUACGCCACACGCACGCUGCCAUACUGAUUGGCGGUACCCUCGUUGGCCAAUCCGUCCCGCUGUUCAACAUGCUCAUCCUGUUGCUUAUAAGGGACCCGCUCGAGGUAGCCUUCCAGUAUCCGAGACCGACUCUGCCCGCGUACAUGACGCCUAUAGAGCCUCAGGUAGGGAAGUUCUACAACUCGCCUGUCGCCCUGGGUUCAGGUGCCGGUGCAGUGCUAACGGUACCCAUCGCUGCGUUGGGUGCAAACCUAAACACGUGG
rnacentral:rRNA from 1 species